rnacentral:rRNA from 1 species
AUUGAACGCUAGCGGCAUGCCUAACACAUGCAAGUCGAACGGCAGCACGAGGAGCUUGCUCCUUGGUGGCGAGUGGCGGACGGGUGAGUAACGCGUAGGAAUCUACCUUAUAGUGGGGGGUAACCCGGGGAAACUCGGGCUAAUACCGCAUAAUCUCUACGGAGCAAAGUUGGGGACCUUUUAGGCCUCACGCUAUUAGACGAGCCUGCGUCGGAUUAGCUAGUUGGUGGGGUAAAGGCCUACCAAGGCGACGAUCCGUAGCUGGACUGAGCGGACGACCAGCCACACUGGGACUGAGACACGGCCCGAACUCCUACGGGAGGCAGCAGUGGGGAAUAUUGGACAAUGGGCGCAAGCCUGAUCCAGCAAUGCCGCGUGUGUGAAGAAGGCCCUCGGGUUGUAAAGCACUUUCAGUGGGGAAGAAAAAGUCGGAGAUAGUAUCUCCGAAAAUUGACGUUACCCACAGAAAAAGCACUGGCUAACUCUGUGCCAGCCGCUGCCGUAA